CCUUGUACACACCGCCCGUCACACCAUGGGAGUUGGAUUGACCCGAAGGUGGUGAGCUAACCCGCAAGGGAGGGAGCCGUCGAAGGUAGGGUUGAUGAUUGGGGUG
rnacentral:rRNA from 1 species